AGCGAUAACGAACGAGACCUUAACCUGCUAAAUAGCCGGGCUAGCUUUGGCUGGUCGUCGGCUUCUUAGAGGGACUAUCGGCUCAAGCCGAUGGAAGUUUGAGGCAAUAACAGGUCUGUGAUGCCCUUAGAUGUUCUGGGCCACACGCGCGCUACACUGACAGAGCCAGCGAGUACUCCCUUGGCCGGAAGGUCCGGGUAAUCUUGUUAAACUCUGUCGUGCUGGGGAUAGAGCAUUGCAAUUAUUGCUCUUCAACGAGGAAUCUCUAGUAAGCGCAAGUCAUCAGCUUGCGUUGAUUACGUCCCUGCCCUUGUACACACCGCCCGUCGCUACUACCGAUUGAAUGGAUUG
rnacentral:rRNA from 1 species